GCCUAGUUAGCUUAGUUGAUAGUGCGUCUGCCUUGUAAGCGCUAGGCCGCGGGUUCGAUUCCCGCCCGGGGCG
rfam:Asian citrus Psyllid, Diaphorina citri - Florida Strain, whole genome shotgun sequence.